AGAAGUUCACCACUGGGCCUCAGUGACCACAUUAAGAGGGGGUCCAGACGACAUGGAAAGGCCAUGAGUAAAUGUUCUGGGCAAUAGCUGCAGCCAAGAGACCACAUCAAUGACAAGACAUGGGAGUGAGGAGCCCUCAGCCUUCAACCUGUCCCACUAAUGCAAAGUUCAGCAGAGAUGAGAAUGCCCGGGAGAAGUUUAUUCUCUCCCCAAAUACACCUGCAAUCUCCAAGUCCUUCUAAUUCAUGCUUUUAAAUGAAAGGGUUGACUAUACAAGAAUAUCAAUAAGUUCCAAUUGAAGAGCGGAUUCUUUUGCAAUUCAGGCAUGUGCCGGCGAUAACGGGCGAGUUGGCAUGAAGAGAGGCAGAGAUGGAUUAAUUAUGCAGAGAACAUGGAAAUUCUGCUUAUCAUCGGCUAGCAAAGGAGCCCGGCUCACAUAAUCAGCAAACGAAGGGAGAGGAAAAAAUAACAAUGCAAUGGCACCUUCCAGCCCAUCAUCAGGAUUUUUUCUACCCCCCUUGUAAUUAAAAAAUAACAUACACUUAUAGCCCUAUCUCCUGUGCAGGCAAGGAGUGGAUGUCCACAAAAUAAUUGCACUGGGAUAUUAGAGCUGGCAACAUGGGCUGUCCAUUUCUGCUUGCUUUCUCUCUCACCCUCUCUUUCUCUUUUGGCCUCUCAAGGCACUUUGCUUCUGAACUCAAUCCAAAUCAGAGGGAUGUCUCAGGUGACAUCCUAGCUCAGUUUCCAAAAAUCCCAAAUUGCUAUCUUAUCAUGAUCCAAGCAAAUAUACAGACAUAUAUGAUACAUAUUUGAAGGGUUGACUCUGGGGAAGGCUUUAGAACUGAUCACCUGUGGACUAUAUGGUCAGUUUUGGUUUUUUGAUGAAACCUAUCCUCAUAACCUUCAUUUUGCAAAGCGAUGAAAUGGUGACAAUGGUGGGCUGUGCAAUGGCUGCAUUCAUCUUCUCGAAUGAUUUCACUUACCUACAACUUUUGGGCUCUAUUGCCUCUGCUGAUUCAUUUUAUGAAUUCAAGUAUAUGUAGUUAAUGAUUGCAGUGUUCGUGCCUCCAAAUCAGAAUUCACAAUUCUGCACUGUUACUGUAAAAUCUGACAGCUUAAUGCUUUGUGUUUCUCUAAAUGCCAAGAGACUAUAAUGAACUAGUUUAUUGCUUUAAAGAAAAUAAAAUUCAAUCCCACACUUGUA